UAUGAGUGAGAACAUGCGGUAUUGGCAUUUGGUUUUCUGUUUUUGUGUUAAUUUGCUUAGGAUAAUAGCCUCCAGCUACAUUCCUGUUUCUGCAAAGGACUUGCUAAGUAUAUUCAGUAAUUUAUCUUACACAGUACAUCUAAGUCCAAUCAUUUCUCCUUAAUAUGCUUAUUGCCUCCAACCCACUUUCUUACCUACCAAGCUUUGAGAAAUCACCUAUCCUCUCAGGAAGUUCUACCUUCCUUCCUCUUGGCCCAUGAAACUUGAGGGUGACUACACUGAAACUAUACCUUACAUCUGGUUCUUACCUCAGGUCCAUGGCUACUAAGAUUGCCCACAUAUUCCCCUUAAAUAAGAUAUCUUGAUGAAUUAGUAAUUAAUGAUUUCAUUCUUUUUAAUGGCUAUAUGGUAUUCCAUGGUGUAUACAUGGAUGAUGUCUUUAGCCAUUUCACUAUUGAUGGACAUCAAAGUUGAUUCCACAUCUUUGCUAUUGUGAAUAGUAUUGCAAUGAACAUACAUGUGCAUGUGU